CGGGACCCGCACAAGCGGUGGAUGAUGUGGAUUAAUUCGAUGCAACGCGAAGAACCUUACCUACCCUUGACAUGUCCGGAACUUGCCAGAGAUGGCUUGGUGCCCGAAAGGGAAUCGGAACACAGGUGCUGCAUGGCUGUCGUCAGCUCGUGUCGUGAGAUGUUGGGUUAAGUCCCGCAACGAGCGCAACCCUUAUCAUUAGUUGCUACGCAAGGGCACUCUAAUGAGACUGCCGGUGACAAACCGGAGGAAGGUGGGGAUGACGUCAAGUCCUCAUGGCCCUUAUGGGUAGGGCUUCACACGUCAUACAAUGGUCGGUACAGAGGGUUGCCAAGCCGCGAGGCGGAGCCAAUCCCACAAAGCCGAUCGUAGUCCGGAUUGUUCUCUGCAACUCGAGAGCAUGAAGUCGGAAUCGCUAGUAAUCGCAGAUCAGCACGCUGCGGUGAAUACGUUCCCGGGCCUU
rnacentral:rRNA from 1 species